AUUGAACGCUGGCGGCAGGCCUAACACAUGCAAGUCGAGCGGAUGAAGGGAGCUUGCUCCUGGAUUCAGCGGCGGACGGGUGAGUAAUGCCUAGGAAUCUGCCUGGUAGUGGGGGAUAACGUCCGGAAACGGGCGCUAAUACCGCAUACGUCCUGAGGGAGAAAGUGGGGGAUCUUCGGACCUCACGCUAUCAGAUGAGCCUAGGUCGGAUUAGCUAGUUGGUGGGGUAAAAGCCUACCAAGGCGACGAUCCGUAACUGGUCUGAGAGGAUGAUCAGUCACACUGGAACUGAGACACGGUCCAGACUCCUACGGGAGGCAGCAGUGGGGAAUAUUGGACAAUGGGCGAAAGCCUGAUCCAGCCAUGCCGCGUGUGUGAAGAAGGUCUUCGGACUGUAAAGCACUUUAAGUUGGGAGGAAGGGCAGUAAGUUAAUACCUUGCUGUUUUGACGUUACCAACAGAAUAAGCACCGGCUAACUUCGUG
rnacentral:rRNA from 1 species